rnacentral:rRNA from 2 species
GACGAACGCUGGCGGCGUGCUUAACACAUGCAAGUCGAACGGGGUCGUGUGCAGCACUGUGUGCUGUACGGAUAACACAGACAAAAGGAUAAGAGAUAACAGAUAGAGAGGCGGAGGGGCGCGGCAUAUUUGUUAUCUGGAAUGAAGUUAUCCGGAGCGGCAGCACGGAGUGCUGUACGCGAUCUAGUGGCGGACGGGUGAGUAACGCGUGAGCAAUCUGCCUCGAGGUGGGGGACAACGCCGGGAAACUGGCGCUAAUACCGCAUAACGUGCAGAGGGGGCAUCCCUUUUGCACCAAAGAUUUAUUGCCUUGAGAUGAGCUCGCGUCCGAUUAGGUAGUUGGUGGGGUAAAGGCCCACCAAGCCGACGAUCGGUAGCCGGACUGAGAGGUCGACCGGCCACAUUGGGACUGAGAUACGGCCCAGACUCCUACGGGAGGCAGCAGUGGGGAAUAUUGGGCAAUGGGCGAAAGCCUGACCCAGCAACGCCGCGUGAAGGAAGAAGGCUUUCGGGUUGUAAACUUCUUUUCCUUGGAAAGAUAAUGACGGUACC